CCUGUCUCAAAUCAAAAACCAAUACAAAGAAGAAAAAUGAAAGAAACCGAAAAUGGAGGAAACAGCAACCAAAAUGCCUGUUGACUGGAGAAUGUUUGUGCCCAUGUGGUCCAGGCACAUGCGAGACUGCUGACCUCCGCCCAGCCCGUCGUCCUCCACCCAGCCUGUCAUCCUCUGCCCAGCCCGUCGUCCUCCAACCAGCCCACCGUCCUCCGCUUUCAGAAACGCACAGCUCACUGCCUCAAGCUUGGGCUGGCAUCAGGCUGGCAGCCAGCAGUGGGAGGUGUGUGUGCUUUGUGUAUGUGAGUGUGCAGCAUGUGGUGUGUCUCUUCCUCCUCCUGUGUCUCUCCUUUUGCAUUCUAGCUUGCCAAUCACUUUGAGAGGGGUCAGCAUGUGAAGAGAUAUCAAAGAUUUCACUACUCGAACCCGUGUCAGAAGCUGACCACACCCCAAGCUAGUCAAGUGUUUAGAACGGAGCCAUAGUCUGAUGGGUGUUUCUGUGGAGGCCUCUCCUGCAGUUCUCUUGAACCUGGCCUGCUGUGUCUCUAUUCCACCUGGUCCCUUGAGAAUCCUCCAGAAGCCAGAUGACUCCUGCAUCCGUCUCCUCCUUCUGUGCUCCAGUCCCUCUCCCUGAGGGCAGCCUAUUGACCAGGUUGCAAGAAGAACCCAGGCUGACUUUCUCUCCAUGGGGCCCUCAUCUGAUCCACUGAAAAUACUCACAUAUCUCCAGUGCCAGCCUCAGAGGCACAGUUGUUUCCUUUCGGUCAAUAUUUGCCUGGAGGUUUUUUUUUUUCAUUCUGUGACUUUCAACCUUUCUGUAAGUUGUGUUUUAGAUAUUUCUUAUUUAAACAUCCUAUAGAGAUA
rnacentral:lncRNA from 1 species